GAGUUUGAUCCUGGCUCAGAUUGAACGCUGGCGGUAUGCUUUACACAUGCAAGUCGAACGGCAGCACGGGGCAACCUGGUGGCGAGUGGCGAACGGGUGAGUAACAUAUCGGAACAUGUUCGGAAGUGGGGGAUAACGUAGCGAAAGUUACGCUAAUACCGCAUAUGCCCUGAGGGGGAAAGGGGGGGAUCGCAAGACCUCUCGCUUUCGGAGUGGCCGAUAUCGGAUUAGCUAGUAGGCGAGGUAAAGGCUCACCUAGGCGACGAUCCGUAGCUGGUCUGAGAGGACGACCAGCCACACUGGAACUGAGACACGGUCCAGACUCCUACGGGAGGCAGCAGUGGGGAAUUUUGGACAAUGGGGGCAACCCUGAUCCAGCCAUACCGCGUGAGUGAAGAAGGCCUUCGGGUUGUAAAGCUCUUUCGGCAGGAAAGAAAACGUGCAGGCUAAUAUCCUGUAUGGAUGACGGUACCUGAAGAAGAAGCACCGGCUAACUACGUGCCAGCAGCCGCGGUAAUACGUAGGGUGCGAGCGUUAAUCGGAAUUACUGGGCGUAAAGCGUGCGCAGGCGGUUUUGUAAGACAGACGUGAAAUCCCCGGGCUUAACCUGGGAACUGCGUUUGUGACUGCAAGGCUAGAGUGUAGCAGAGGGGGGUAGAAUUUCCACGUGUAGCAGUGAAAUGCGUAGAUAUGUGGGAGGAAUACCGAUGGCGAAGGCAGCCCCCUGGGCUAACACUGACGCUCAUGCACGAAAGCGUGGGGAGCAAACAGGAUUAGAUACCCUGGUAGUCCACGCCCUAAACGAUGUCAACUAGGUGUUGGGGAAGGAGACUUCUUUAGUACCGCAGCUAACGCGCUAAGUUGACCGCCUGGGGAGUACGGUCGCAAGAUUAAAACUCAAAGGAAUUGACGGGGACCCGCACAAGCGGUGGAUUAUGUGGAUUAAUUCGAUGCAACGCGAAAAACCUUACCUACCCUUGACAUGCCAGGAACCCUGCUGAGAGGCGGGGGUGCCCGAAAGGGAACCUGGACACAGGUGCUGCAUGGCUGUCGUCAGCUCGUGUCGUGAGAUGUUGGGUUAAGUCCCGCAACGAGCGCAACCCUUGCCACUAGUUGCCAUCAUUAAGUUGGGCACUUUAGUGGGACUGCCGGUGACAAACCGGAGGAAGGUGGGGAUGACGUCAAGUCCUCAUGGCCCUUAUGGGUAGGGCUUCACACGUCAUACAAUGGUCGGUACAGAGGGUAGCCAACCCGCGAGGGGGAGCCAAUCUCAUAAAGCCGAUCGUAGUCCGGAUUGCAGGCUGCAACUCGCCUGCAUGAAGUCGGAAUCGCUAGUAAUCGCGGAUCAGCAUGUCGCGGUGAAUACGUUCCCGGGCCUUGUACACACCGCCCGUCACACCAUGGGAGUGGGGGAUACCAGAAGUAGGUAGCUUAACCUUCGGGAAGGCGCUUACCACGGUAUGUUUCAUGACUGGGGUGAAGUCGUAACAAGGUGACCGUA
rnacentral:rRNA from 1 species